rnacentral:rRNA from 1 species
CAGGCCUAACACAUGCAAGUCGAACGGUAAUAGGUCUUCGGAUGCUGACGAGUGGCGAACGGGUGAGUAAUGUAUCGGAACGUGCCCAGUCGUGGGGGAUAACGCAGCGAAAGCUGUGCUAAUACCGCAUACGAUCUAUGGAUGAAAGCGGGGGACUCGCAAGGGCCUCGCGCGAUUGGAGCGGCUGAUAUCAGAUUAGGUAGUUGGUGAGGUAAAGGCUCACCAAGCCUGCGAUCUGUAGCUGGUCUGAGAGGACGACCAGCCACACUGGAACUGAGACACGGUCCAGACUCCUACGGGAGGCAGCAGUGGGGAAUUUUGGACAAUGGGCGCAAGCCUGAUCCAGCAAUGCCGCGUGCAGGAUGAAGGCCUUCGGGUUGUAAACUGCUUUUGUACGGAACAAAAAGGCUUCUUCUAAUACAGGGGGCUCAUGACGGUACCGUGAGAAUAAGCACCGGCUAACUACGUGCCAGCAGCCGCGGUAAU